rfam:Pseudomonas mendocina ymp, complete genome.
AUACGUGUAGGGUGGAGAUGUACAACUGUCGGACUGCGUAGCAUAUCGCUUGAUCAAAGACGCCUCAUCUCGUCCGCUACCGCCAGUUGAUUCCUCCUCCUGACUGAGUGCUUUCUGUCACCACAGCAAGCAGGAGACGUCCGUCGCGACCGCAGCCUCUGAUGGCAGGCCGUCGCUCGACAGUGGAACGAUUUACGACCGUUUCUGACGCGCCUGACACCGACCCUGAGAGUCGUGUGUGCCUAACGUGGCUUCCGCUAGCCCCGGAACCCAU